GGCGGCUCGAGUGGUAACCGUUAUUAUUGGGUCUAAAGGGUCUGUAGCCGGCCGGAUAAGUCUCUUGGGAAAUCCAGCAGCUUAACUGUUGGGCUUUCAGGAGAUACUGUCUGGCUCGAGGCCGGGAGAGGUGAGAGGUACUUCAGGGGUAGGGGUGAAAUCUUGUAAUCCUUGAAGGACCACCAGUGGCGAAGGCGUCUCACCAGAACGGACCUGACGGCAAGGGACGAAAGCUAGGGGCACGAACC
rnacentral:rRNA from 1 species